rnacentral:rRNA from 1 species
UACAGAGGUCCCAAGCGUUGUUCGGAUUCAUUGGGCGUAAAGGGUGCGUAGGCGGCGGGGUAAGUCUGAUGUGAAAGGUUGGGGCUCAACCCUGACACUGCAUUGGAUACUGCCUUGCUUGAGUACUGGAGAGGAGACUGGAAUUUACGGUGUAGCAGUGAAAUGCGUAGAGAUCGUAAGGAAGACCAGUGGCGAAGGCGAGUCUCUGGACAGUUACUGACGCUGAGGCACGAAGGCCAGGGGAGCAAACGGG